rnacentral:rRNA from 1 species
AUUGAACGCUGGCGGAAUGCUUUACACAUGCAAGUCGAACGGCAGCACGGGGCAACCUGGUGGCGAGUGGCGAACGGGUGAGUAAUACAUCGGAACGUGCCCAAUCGUGGGGAUAACGUAGCGAAAGUUACGCUAAUACCGCAUACGAUCUACGGAUGAAAGCGGGGGAUCGCAAGACCUCGCGCGAAUGGAGCGGCCGAUGUCAGAUUAGGUAGUUGGUGGGGUAAAGGCUCACCAAGCCGACGAUCUGUAGCUGGUCUGAGAGGACGACCAGCCACACUGGGACUGAGACACGGCCCAGACUCCUACGGGAGGCAGCAGUGGGGAAUUUUGGACAAUGGCGCAAGCCUGAUCCAGCCAUUCCGCGUGCCAGGAU